GAUGAACGCUGGCGGCGUGCCUAAUACAUGCAAGUCGAGCGAACAGACGAGGAGCUUGCUCCUCUGACGUUAGCGGCGGACGGGUGAGUAACACGUGGAUAACCUACCUAUAAGACUGGGAUAACUUCGGGAAACCGGAGCUAAUACCGGAUAAUAUAUUGAACCGCAUGGUUCAAUAGUGAAAGACGGUUUUGCUGUCACUUAUAGAUGGAUCCGCGCCGCAUUAGCUAGUUGGUAAGGUAACGGCUUACCAAGGCAACGAUGCGUAGCCGACCUGAGAGGGUGAUCGCCCACACUGGAACUGAGACACGGUCCAGACUCCUACGGGAGGCAGCAGUAGGGAAUCUUCCGCAAUGGGCGAAAGCCUGACGGAGCAACGCCGCGUGAGUGAUGAAGGUCUUCGGAUCGUAAAACUCUGUUAUUAGGGAAGAACAAAUGUGUAAGUAACUAUGCACUUCUUGACGGUACCUAAUCAGAAAGCCACGGCUAACUACGUG
rnacentral:rRNA from 1 species